rnacentral:rRNA from 1 species
GAUGAACGCUGGCGGCGUGCCUAAUACAUGCAAGUCGAGCGAACGGACGAGAAGCUUGCUUCUCUGAUGUUAGCGGCGGACGGGUGAGUAACACGUGGAUAACCUACCUAUAAGACUGGGAUAACUUCGGGAAACCGGAGCUAAUACCGGAUGAUAUUUUGAACCGCAUGGUUCAAAAGUGAAAGACGGUCUUGAUGUCACUUAUAGAUGGAUCCGCGCUGCAUUAGCUAGUUGGUAAGGUAACGGCUUACCAAGGCAACGAUGCAUAGCCGACCUGAGAGGGUGAUCGGCCACACUGGAACUGAGCCACGGUCCAGACUCCUACGGGAGGCAGCAGUAGGGAAUCUUCCGCAAUGGGCGAAAGCCUGACGGAGCAACGCCGCGUGAGUGAUGAAGGUCUUCGGAUCGUAAAACUCUGUUAUUAGGGAAGAACAUAUGUGUAAGUAACUGUGCACAUCUUGACGGUACCUAAUCAGAAAGCCACGGCUAACUACGUG